UUCCAUUUCAUACUUAUAACCAAUUUAAACAUCAUUCUACAACCGUAAUAACAAAACUUUUAUUCUUAACCUAUACAUCACCUAGGUACAUGCCACAUUAUCAAACAAAGGUACAUAACUAAAAUUUCUCUGAGUUCGGGAUUGCUCUGGAUACUGGACCGGAUACUGGCUUUCUACUAACCUGCGCACGGAGACAACCGCACGCUGAGUAUAGAAAUACUCAAUGGUAUUAUCAUAAUUCAAAUUAAUAACAUUAAUCGAUAAAUUAUAUACAUUUAAAUUUAUGUCUACAAUUAUUCAAUACAUUUUCUC
rnacentral:lncRNA from 1 species